GGGAUCGAAGAUGAUUAGAUACCAUCGUAGUCUUAACCGUAAACGAUGCCGACUUGCGAUUGUCCGAUGGUUUUUCUUUAGCCGUGGGCAGCAGCACAUGAGAAAUCAAAGUCUUUGGGUUCCGGGGGGAGUAUGGUCGCAAGGCUGAAACUUAAAGGAAUUGACGGAAGGGCACCACCAGGAGUGGAGCCUGCGGCUUAAUUUGACUCAACACGGGAAAACUUACCAGGUCCAGACAAAGUAAGGAUUGACAGUUUGAGAGCACUUUCUUGAUUCUUUGGGUGGUGGUGCAUGGCCGUUCUUAGUUGGUGGAGUGAUUUGUCUGGUUAAUUCCGAUAACGAACGAGACCCCAACCUGCUAACUAGACUGGUUUAACUCACGUUAGAUCAGCGCUUCUUAGAGGGACAUUUCGGAUCUACCGGAAGGAAGUUCGUU
rnacentral:rRNA from 1 species